AAAUUUGCGGGCCCAGUACCAAAGCACCCAACCGGCCCUAAAGCAAAAUAACCCCAGCCCGAAUGGCCCAAAAUCAGGCCAAACUUCAGCAGGAGAACCCUAGGGCGCUGCACGCCGUCUGCCCAGCCCCAGCACCAAUUCGCGCACGCCACCGCCACUGCCGUUGUUCUCCAAUCAAUCGCCAAUUUCGUGUCUGCCUCAUCACAUCAUCGCCUGCAAAGAAAAAUAAAGAAACAAGAACAAAGCAAAAGGAACAAAACAAUACAAUCCAACAUGCAAAAUGACAAACGAACAAUCCAAGGCACAAAACGUCGAAAUAGAAAUUUAGGGAUUUUUUAAAUCGGUUAUAUAAACCGAAUUCGGACUGUAACGCCGGUCUUCUU
rnacentral:lncRNA from 1 species